rnacentral:rRNA from 1 species
GUGGGGAAUUUUGGACAAUGGGCGCAAGCCUGAUCCAGCAAUGCCGCGUGCAGGAAGAAGGCCUUUGGGUUGUAAACUGCUUUUGUACGGAACGAAACGGUCCGGGUUAAUACCCUGGGCUAAUGACGGUACCGUAAGAAUAAGCACCGGCUAACUACGUGCCAGCAGCCGCGGUAAUACGUAGGGUGCAAGCGUUAAUCGGAAUUACUGGGCGUAAAGCGUGCGCUGGCGGUUUUGUAAGACAGGCGUGAAAUCCCCGGGCUCAACCUGGGAAUUGCGCUUGUGACUGCAGUGCUGGAGUACGGCAGAGGGGGAUGGAAUUCCGCGUGUAGCAGUGAAAUGCGUAGAUAUGCGGAGGAACACCGAUGGCGAAGGCAGUCCCCUGGGCCUGUACUGACGCUCAUGCACGAAAGCGUGGGGAGCAAACAGGAUUAGAAACCCGAGUAGUCC